rnacentral:rRNA from 1 species
GACGAACGCUGGCGGCGUGCCUAAUACAUGCAAGUAGAACGCUGAAGCUUGGUGCUUGCACCGAGCGGAUGAGUUGCGAACGGGUGAGUAACGCGUAGGUAACCUGCCUGGUAGCGGGGGAUAACUAUUGGAAACGAUAGCUAAUACCGCAUAACAGUAGAUAUCGCAUGAUAGCUACUUGAAAGGUGCAAAUGCACCACUACCAGAUGGACCUGCGUUGUAUUAGCUAGUUGGUGAGGUAACGGCUCACCAAGGCAACGAUACAUAGCCGACCUGAGAGGGUGAUCGGCCACACUGGGACUGAGACACGGCCCAGACUCCUACGGGAGGCAGCAGUAGGGAAUCUUCGGCAAUGGACGGAAGUCUGACCGAGCAACGCCGCGUGAGUGAAGAAGGUUUUCGGAUCGUAAAGCUCUGUUGUAAGAGAAGAACGAGUGUGAGAGUGGAAAGUUCACACUGUGACGGUACCUUACCAGAAAGGGACGGCUAACUACGUG